UAAAAACAAUUCCUAGUGGCAAGGAUUUCCGGACCAGGCAGCUUGGUCAACAUGAAGUAAGUCUAUCCAAAUCAGGAUACAAAUUCUGCUUUAUACUUCUGAGAUUAUUUCUAAACAGUUUCUAUCAACAUGAAAACUCUUAGCUGUCCCCAAAACAAUCUUCCCAUAGUCCACACCUUCUAACUACUCGUCCCUCAAAGCUGAGGGCUGGGGAGGCAUAAAGAUAACCCCACGUGUUCACAGUUUGAGGCUUUGCUGUGUACAUUUAGCUCCUGGCUUCCAGAUGGGGAGAUAGGGGUAAGGACACCAUACUGCAGUGCUGUGCCAAACUUGUCUCUCUCUGACCAUCCGCUUCCUACACAGCCGGGCUGGGAGAUUACAGGAGUACACACAUAACGCCUGAGACCAUGCUGACCUAGUGAAACGCUCUGAGAAGGAGCCAGCUGCUCAAACUGUACAAGCUUUCCUGGGGCACUCGUCUGUCAUGCUUACUCUAGUUCAAAGAGGGAGUAACAAGAUGUCUCUUCCCGAUACAAGAUGAAAAUAAUUCCCUUUAAAACUUGGGCAUAAUGGCUCUAUGGGUUUCUACACUUCAGAAUUAUGUCUAAGCUCUUCCUGGCAGGCAUGAACCACUGCAGAUGUUAACUUUUACAUAAUAAGGAGUAAUAGGAGAAUACUGCGUAUUACCACAUCCUAUAGCUUCAGUAUCCAGAGCUAUUCUAUCCUUACACUACGUGCAGGACUGUCUGCAUUUGUGGAGCUUAAGGAGACAGCUCAUAGGUCACGUAAUACAGAAAGGCACAGCCCUUCUAAUCACCCCCCACUAGGCCACCUGGUGCUGAGGGAAUUCUGCUGCCUUCUGAACUGGGUCACACAGUACAUGCUGAUGAAGCAAGCCUCCCAGGAAUUAUCACUAGGAAGGCUGUCCUGAUGAAAAGCAAUGAAGCAUCUUGGGUAAUGUGAGUGUAAUCUUUGAGUGACAUUCAGAUUGCAAGUGAGAUACUUCUGCAGUCUGAGGAUGGAAUGACUACUGAUGCCUCUUCUUAUUCAAUCUUAAUAGUCCAGCAAGGGCUUUGGGAAAGUUAACUUCUCAUAGCAGCCAUGAUGGUUCCUUCCCCUGAGAGUUUGGAUUUUUUCGCCUAAAUGUAAAAAGCUAUUUUCUUUCCAGUUUUACCUCAAACUAUAUGCAUAACUCAGAAAUACUGAGUUUUGUUCCUAACCAAAAGCAAUAAACAAAUCAUGAGCCUUUAAGUUUA
ensembl:antisense Gm37637 predicted gene, 37637